rnacentral:lncRNA from 1 species
GGUUUUAGAUAACAAGGAUGAUGAAGUGUGAGUCAGCAGAACAAGUGUGACCUUAUUGUCAAUCUUAAAACUUCAGUAAACCAAAAAGUAGGUAAACUUUGUUUUCAUCCCUUUCACGCUUGUUCUGGUGCUUUGGAUUUUGGAUUGCCAUGUACAAUUUAAUAAGUUAAUUUCUUUACUUUCCUUUUGGUCUUGGCAGUUGUUGUGGUGGGAUAGUGUAAAUUUUAAAUCCAAAGCUUUUGACUUUUAUGAUGGUAAUAAAUUUGCUCAUUUUAUUAAAAUAAUCAUGAAUCAUCAUUUACAACAUAGGUCAGAUUACAAAUGUUGGUACUACUAUAUCUGCUUGCUUUUGUAAUUAGCGGGGCUAAUCCUGAUGUUAAUCAAUUUGGUGCUGCAUGAGUCCUUCAUCCUGAUGAUGUCCUUGCAUUUUUUUUUUUCUUUCUCAUUAUUGAUACCUUAGAAUGUAUAAUGCUUUUGUCUAAUAUAUGUACACUUUAAAUUUGUUUGCAGGUUAGGGAUACCAGUUUUCAUAGAGAAGGUGCUGACAUUCAUGUAGAUGUUGGUUUGUGUAUCACUCAGGUAUUGGUUAAAUAUUUUAGUUCUUUGAAGUUCUUUAUAUGCUUUAAUACGAGAAACUCUUGAAGAUUCAUAUGAGAUGGAAAAAUAGAAUAAUCUCUUUUAACUUUGGCAAUAUCUAAUUGUUUUUAGGUCACCAACAAACUGAAGUGUAAGAACUCAAAUGGGUUUCAUUAGUCUUGUGUAUUUGGAUCGUUUUUCUGAUUGGAUAUUUUGGGCUCUGUUUUAGGUUGCUUGUUUGCCAUUAAUUUUGGCUAUUUCUAUGAACCCUAUAAUUUCGUACAAGAAAUUCAAAAAGGAAAGAAGAUUUGACUAAGUUUUCAUAUGGCCCUUGAAAGAAUGCAUGUCCUACUUAAAAAAGAAAAGUAUAUGAUCGUUUUUGAGUCUUUACACUCUUUGGCUGACCUUGUCCAAGCAAGUAUUGGAUGAUUUAUAGGAUCAACAAAUUAGUGAAGCACUCAUCCUAGCUUCAAAUCCCAUUGGGAGGUAAAAAUGAUAACUAGGAUUUUAGUUUAAUAGAAGAAGUCACUAUUUUGUGCAGUGUAUAUAUUGCUAGAAUUUAUCUCUGAUGCACUCUAUGUAAAGGAAAGUGGGUUUUAUACCAAUAUUACUCCUAUCACGGUUCUUGAAUAUUCAUGUUAAUGACUUUGCUUGAGAAAUCUUGUACUUUAUAAUUUCUAAUUUUCUGUUUACAUGUUAGAAGAAGAUAUUUUAUCUAUUUAUAUAUUCUUCCUUCUGGAUGGUGCUUAUGACUUAUAAGUUUUGGGAAGUACUCAUAAUUGUACUUUUGGCUGAGUAGGAAUUUUUUCCCCAUUUUGCAAGAAUUGUCCAUCAAAUUUAUAUAAGUUUGUAGAUAGCACAAGUAUGCACCUUUAGACACUUUUGAAAGAUACAAGAAGAAGCACAUGCGAUUCUCAUCCAACCAAUUCCAUUGUAGGAGAUGAUCUGACUAUCAAUUGCUGUAGGUUUUGAUAACUCAUUGAUCCAUAUAUAUGUUAAUGUUUUGACAGAUUGGUAUAACUAGGGAGGCUCCAACCAAAGCAAGACUUGGACUUGUCAUGAGCUUUCACAUAGAGAUGUUAUGGGGAAAGUAAAGCUUCUAAGUGACAAGUUAGAGAGCUUAUUUCAUUUUAGUACGUUUAUUUUAAAUGUAUUCAUGUUGUAAUUUCAAUACUAUGUAAGUAUAUGGUUGUGUUAUUUUAAAUUAUUGUAUAUAAUUGUAUUAUUCUAGUGGAUUUACAAUUUCUUAUAUGUUUUUUAUAUGUAUUUCUUUUAAUGAUAAAG